rnacentral:rRNA from 1 species
ACUAAGUGCAUGUGGUGGAUGCCUUGGCGAUUACAGGCGACGAAGGACGUGAUAGCCUGCGAUAAGCUUCGGGGAGCUGGCAAAUUAGCUUUGAUCCGGAGAUUUCCGAAUGGGGAAACCCACCCGCAAGGGUAUCGCAUACUGAAUACAUAGGUAUGCGAGGCGAACCGGGUGAACUGAAACAUCUCAGUAGCUCGAGGAAAAGACAUCAACCGAGAUUCCGAAAGUAGUGGCGAGCGAAAUCGGAGGAGCCUGCACGUUUUAGCAGUUGGUAUAUCAGAACGGAAUGGAAAGUCCGGCCAUAGCGGGUGAUAGCCCCGUAUGAAAAAUGUUGGCUGUGGAACUAAGCGUGCGACAAGUAGGGCGGGACACGUGAAAUCCUGUCUGAAUAUGGGGGGGACCAUCCUCCAAGGCUAAAUACUCGUAAUCGACCGAUAGUGAACUAGUACCGUGAGGGAAAGGCGAAAAGAACCCCGGGAGGGGAGUGAAAUAGAUCCUGAAACCGCAUGCAUACAAAAAGUAGGAGCCCGCAAGGGUGACUGCGUACCUUUUGUAUAAUGGGUCAGCGACUUACAUUCAGUGGCGAGCUUAACCGAAUAGGGAAGCCGCAGGGAAACCGAGUCCGAAUAGGGCGAAUCAGUCGCUGGGUGUAGACCCGAAACCAAGUGAUCUAUCCAUGGCCAGGAUGAAGGUACCGUAACAGGUGCUGGAGGUCCGAACCGACUAGUGUUGCAAAACUAGCGGAUGAGCUGUGGAUAGGGGUGAAAGGCUAAACAAACUUGGAAAUAGCUGGUUCUCUCCGAAAACUAUUUAGGUAGUGCCUCAAGUAUUACCAUCGGGGGUAGAGCACUGUUAUGGCUAGGGGGUCAUGGCGACUUACCAAACCAUUGCAAACUCCGAAUACCGAUGAGUACAGCUUGGGAGACAGAGCACCGGGUGCUAACGUCCGGACUCAAGAGGGAAACAACCCAGACCGCCAGCUAAGGUCCCUAAAAUUGGCUAAGUGGGAAACGAAGUGGGAAGGCUAAAACAGUCAGGAUGUUGGCUUAGAAGCAGCCAUCAUUUAAAGAAAGCGUAAUAGCUCACUGAUCGAGUCGUCCUGCGCGGAAGAUGUAACGGGGCUAAGCCAGUUACCGAAGCUGCGGAUGUGCAAUUUAUUGCACGUGGUAGGAGAGCGUUCUGUAAGCCUGUGAAGGUGGGUUGUGAAGCCUGCUGGAGGUAUCAGAAGUGCGAAUGCUGACAUGAGUAGCGUUAAAGGGGGUGAAAAGCCCCCUCGCCGUAAGCGCAAGGUUUUCUACGCAACGUUCAUCGGCGUAGAGUGAGUCGGCCCCUAAGGCGAGGCAGAGAUGCGUAGCUGAUGGGAAACAGGUCAAUAUUCCUGUACCGAUCUAUAGUGCGAUGUGGGGACGGAGAAGGUUAGCUCAGCCAACUGUUGGAUAUGUUGGUUCAAGCCUGUAGUCGUGCCUGGUAGGAAAAUCCGCCGGGCUUAGAUGAGGGGUGAUAACGAGUCUGCUUGCAGACGAAGUGAGUGAUACCCUGCUUCCAGGAAAAGCCACUAAGCUUCAGCUAUAGACGACCGUACCGCAAACCGACACUGGUGCGCGAGAUGAGUAUUCUAAGGCGCUUGAGAGAACUCUGGAGAAGGAACUCGGCAAAUUGACACCGUAACUUCGGAAGAAGGUGUGCCUUUAGUAGGUGAACCAUGUACAAAGGGAGCCCAAUGAGGCCGCAGAGAAUCGGUGGCUGCAACUGUUUAUUAAAAACACAGCACUCUGCAAAGACGAAAGUCGACGUAUAGGGUGUGACGCCUGCCCGGUGCUGGAAGAUUAAAUGAUGGGGUGCAAGCUCUUGACUGAAGUCCCAGUAAACGGCGGCCGUAACAAUAACGGUCCUAAGGUAGCGAAAUUCCUUGUCGGGUAAGUUCCGACCUGCACGAAUGGCGUAACGAUGGCCACACUGUCUCCUCCAGAGACUCAGCGAAGUUGAAAUGUUUGUGAUGAUGCAAUCU